rnacentral:misc_RNA from 1 species
UCUCCGUAGGUGAACCUGCGGAGGGAUCAUUACAGAGUUCAUGCCCUACCGGGUAGAUCUCCCACCCUAUGUUAUUAUUACUUUGUUGCUUUGGCGGGCCGUUAGGCUCCGGCCCGACUACCGGCCCCGGCUGGUAAGCGCCCGCCAGAGGACCCAAAACCCUGAAUAUUAGUGUCGUCUGAGUACUAUAUAAUAGUUAAAACUUUCAACAACGGAUCUCCUGGUUCUG